AGCUAUAGUUACAAAGAAAGAGUCUGGAAGUUCACAUUCUUUUCUAUGGCAUGUGAACAUCUCACAGUCUGCUCCAUCCAACGUUCAUACUCUCACAUCUUGACAAUUUCUUCCGACGCCUGUGAUUUAUUUGUUCAGUGACACCCAAACUCACAAGUGUUUGUCUGUUUACACUUGCUAUUUUGCCCAUUGCCUUGAAUAUUUAAGGCAUUUUCCUCUCAAUUGUCACCUUUUUGGGGAAAAAAAAACCCAGGUAUUAUUUCAUUACUCCAAAUUCAUUACUCCAAACAAGUAAUUCUCAUAACCCCAAACAAGCUUUUUGAGUUACUAUAGCUCUUCCAAUAAAUAUCAUAAUAAAAAACACGCCUCUAUUGAGCAUUUAUGAUGGUCUGAAACUGCAGUUGUUGCUUUAUUCAUGUUAUUCCUGAUCUUCAUUUUAACAAAACAAUAAGAUAAGUACAAUCGUCUUCAUUUUACAGAUAAGCAAACUGGGUCACAGGGAGUUUUGUAGAUUGCCUGAGGUAACACACCUAGUAAUUGUUGAGAACUGAGCCCAGAUCUGUCCUGCUCUAGAGAGUACAUUCUUUUCCAUUUUACUGGGCUAUUUUUCUCACCUUUGCAUUAGACUUACGAAUUGUAAUUAUUUUUUUGCACAUCUAUGUCUUUUACUACACAGUGAGCUCUUUCAAGUUGAGACAUGACAAUUUAUCUGUAUCUUUCCAAUGCCAGAUAUAGUACAUACUCCAUCUUCAGUAAAUGUUUGAUAAUAUAUGAAUGAAGAAUGAAUGAAUAAUAAAUAAGUAACUGAGAAGUCUCCAUAGUGAUCAUGAAAACAAAACAGUGGAUGUCAGUUAUAUAACUAAGUGUGCAGUAGUAACAUGCCCGUGGCUCCAGGGAACUUUAUGACUAAGUUGGAACAAAGCACUCAUGCCUCAUGUUAAAUGCAGCACAGGAGAGAUCAUUAAAUGUUACUUGGCAAUUAAUUACCUGGAAUACACCUUUUUUUCACAGCUUUGGUUUCAGGUCUACCACUGAGUAUUUAUGUGCUCAGUU
rnacentral:lncRNA from 13 species